rnacentral:rRNA from 1 species
UACGUAGGUCCCGAGCGUUGUCCGGAUUUAUUGGGCAUAAAGCGAGCGCAGGUGGUUUAUUAAGUCUGGUGUAAAAGGCAGUGGCUCAACCAUUGUAUGCAUUGGAAACUGGUAGACUUGAGUGCAGGAGAGGAGAGUGGAAUUCCAUGUGUAGCGGUGAAAUGCGUAGAUAUAUGGAAGAACACCGGUGGCGAAAGCGGCUCUCUGGCCUGUAACUGACACUGAGGCUCGAAAGCGUGGGGAGCAAACAGG